AAGCUUCAGUAUGAAAGUGGUUGUAAGCACGUGCAUAAAUCGGAUUAUGCGCAAUGCAAAGAUUUUUAUAUCUGGUACAUAUAUGAAAGUAUUGUGACUCCAUUCACUUUGCCCGUCAACCUUACUGUUCUUUAUAAGGGAGAAAAGAACGAAACAUUGCCAUCUGACCUGAAUGAUGCCACCCAUGUAUAUUGGAACCCCGAAAACCUGACGACCCCAAUUGUUUAUACUCAAGAAUAUUACGAAGAGAAGUGCAAUUUCACUGUCCCUGUUACCUUCAAUGGCUGGUUCACAUAUGAAGUCAAAGAGUCAGUGGGAGACAACCCUCAUAAGGACGCUCUGGGAAUAGGAAAUAUCGUGGAUAGUAGUAAAAAACUUACCGCAAGCGAUAGCUUAACGGUGCUUUACAACGUGAGUGGUGUAUUUCAACAUACAGUCAUUUGCACAUCUUAAAAAACGACAUAACGUCGAGGGAUUUCAUAAUAAUUACAAAUCUUUGGACAAGCCUGGGACAUUGUUUUGUGGACAUAUGACAGAAUGAAAUUUCAGAGGUCGCA